rnacentral:rRNA from 1 species
GACGAACGCUGGCGGCGUGCUUAACACAUGCAAGUCGUACGGUAAGGCCCUUUCGGGGGUACACGAGUGGCGAACGGGUGCGUAACACGUGAGUAACCUGCCCACAACUUUGGGAUAACGCUAGGAAACUGGUGCUAAUACUGGAUAUGUGCUCCUGCUGCAUGGUGGGGGUUGGAAAGCUCCGGCGGUUGUGGAUGGACUCGCGGCCUAUCAGCCUGUUGGUGGGGUAGUGGCCUACCGAGGCGGCGACGGGUAGCCGGGCUGAGAGGGUGACCGGCCACAUUGGGACUGAGAGACGGCCCAGACUCCUACGGGAGGCAGCAGGGGGGAAGAUUGCACAAUGGGCGCAAGCCUGAUGCAGCAACGCCGCGGGCGGGAGGACGGCCUUCGGGUUGGAAACCGCUUUCAGCAGGGACGAAGCUUUUUGUGACGGUACCUGCAGAAGAAGCACCGGCUAACUACGUG